CAGUCGCCGCGGUAAGACGAACCGUGCGAACGUUAUUCGGAAUUACUGGGCUUAAAGCGCGUGUAGGCGGGUCGGCACGUCGGUCGCUGAAAUCCCCCGUCUCAACCGGGGAAGUGGCGCCGAUACGGCCGGCCUGGAGGGGGGUAGGGGGGCCUGGAACUUCCGGUGGAGCGGUGAAAUGCGUUGAGAUCGGAAGGAACGCCCGUGGCGAAAGCGAGGCCCUGGACCCUUUCUGACGCUGAGACGCGAAAGCCAGGGGAGCGAACGGGAUUAGAUACCCCUGUAGUCCCUGUCUCUUAUA
rnacentral:rRNA from 1 species